UACGAAAGGAGCAGGUGCUAUUCAGAUCAACUGGGCGUAAAGGGCACGUAGGUGGUUUGUUUAUGUGUAUUAUUAAAUUGUAAAGCAUAACUUUAUAACGUAUUACAGACAGCAAAACUAGAGUUAGGUAGACGGUAGUAGAAUUUCUAAUGUAAAGGUGAAAUUUGAUAAAAUUAGAAAAGAAUACCAAAUGGCGUAAGCAACUAUCUGGUCCUUAACUGAUACUGAGGUGCGAAGGUAUGGGGAGCAAAUAGG
rnacentral:rRNA from 1 species